UACGUAGGGUGCGAGCGUUAAUCGGAAUUACUGGGCGUAAAGCGUGCGUAGGCGGUUCGCUGUGUCCGAUGUGAAAGCCCCGGGCUUAACCUGGGAAUGGCAUUGGGAAACUGGCGGGCUUGAGUGGCGGCAGAGGGGGGUGGAAUUCCGCGUGUAGCAGUGAAAUGCGUAGAGAUGCGGAGGAACACCGAUGGCGAAGGCAGCCCCCUGGGUCGACACUGACGCUCAGGCACGAAAGCGUGGGAGCAACAGG
rnacentral:rRNA from 1 species